rnacentral:rRNA from 1 species
GACGAACGCUGGCGGCGUGCUUAACACAUGCAAGUCGAACGGAAAGGCCCUGCUUUUGUGGGGUGCUCGAGUGGCGAACGGGUGAGUAACACGUGAGUAACCUGCCCUUGACUUUGGGAUAACUUCAGGAAACUGGGGCUAAUACCGGAUAGGAGCUCCUGCUGCAUGGUGGGGGUUGGAAAGUUUUGGCGGUUGGGGAUGGACUCGCGGCUUAUCAGCUUGUUGGUGGGGUAGUGGCUUACCAAGGCUUUGACGGGUAGCCGGCCUGAGAGGGUGACCGGCCACAUUGGGACUGAGAUACGGCCCAGACUCCUACGGGAGGCAGCAGUGGGGAAUAUUGCACAAUGGGCGGAAGCCUGAUGCAGCAACGCCGCGUGCGGGAUGACGGCCUUCGGGUUGUAAACCGCUUUCGCCUGUGACGAAGCGUGAGUGACGGUAAUGGGUAAAGAAGCACCGGCUAACUACGUGCCAGCAGCCGCGGUGAUACGUAGGGUGCGAGCGUUGUCCGGAUUUAUUGGGCGUAAAGGGCUCGUAGGUGGUUGAUCGCGUCGGAAGUGUAAUCUUGGGGCUUAACCCUGAGCGUGCUUUCGAUACGGGUUGACUUGAGGAAGGUAGGGGAGAAUGGAAUUCCUGGUGGAGCGGUGGAAUGCGCAGAUAUCAGGAGGAACACCAGUGGCGAAGGCGGUUCUCUGGGCCUUUCCUGACGCUGAGGAGCGGAAGCGUGGGGAGCGAACAGGCUUAGAUACCCUGGUAGUCCACGCUGUAAACGGUGGGUACUAGGUGUGGGGUCCAUUCCACGGGUUCCGUGCCGUAGCUAACGCUUUAAGUACCCCGCCUGGGGAGUACGGCCGCAAGGCUAAAACUCAAAGGAAUUGACGGGGCCCCGCACAAGCGGCGGAGCAUGCGGAUUAAUUCGAUGCAACGCGUAGAACCUUACCUGGGUUUGACAUGGAUCGGGAGUGCUCAGAGAUGGGUGUGCCUCUUUUGGGGUCGGUUCACAGGUGGUGCAUGGCUGUCGUCAGCUCGUGUCGUGAGAUGUUGGGUUAAGUCCCGCAACGAGCGCAACCCUUGUUCACUGUUGCCAGCACGUUAUGGUGGGGACUCAGUGGAGACCGCCGGGGUCAACUCGGAGGAAGGUGGGGAUGACGUCAAGUCAUCAUGCCCCUUAUGUCCAGGGCUUCACGCAUGCUACAAUGGCUGGUACAGAGAGUGGCGAGCCUGUGAGGGUGAGCGAAUCUCGGAAAGCCGGUCUCAGUUCGGAUUGGGGUCUGCAACUCGACCUCAUGAAGUCGGAGUCGCUAGUAAUCGCAGAUCAGCAACGCUGCGGUGAAUACGUUCCCGGGGCU